AAUCUACCCAGAACUGGUGAAUAGCCCUCCGAAAGGAGGAUUAAUACACCGUAACAUAAUAGAGUGGCAUCACUUUGUUAUUAAAGCUCCGGCGGUUUUGGAUGAGCGUGCGCCCCAUUAGGUAGUUGGUUGAGGUAAUGGCUCACCAAGCCUGCGAUGGGUAACUGGUGUGAGAGCACGACCAGUCACACGGGCACUGAGACACGGGCCCGACUCCUACGGGAGGCAGCAGUAAGGAAUAUUGGUCAAUGGACGCAAGUCUGAACCAGCCAUGCCGCGUGGAGGAUGAAGGCCCUCUGGGUUGUAAACUUCUUUUAUGGGGGACGAAAUCACUUAUUCUUAAGUGUCUGACGGUACCCCAGGAAUAAGCACCGGCUAACUCCGUGCCAGCAGCCGCGGUAAUACGGAGGGUGCAAGCGUUAUCCGGAUUCACUGGGUUUAAAGGGUGCGUAGGAGGGCGGAUAAGUCAGUGGUGAAAUCUUCGAGCUUAACUCGGAAACUGCCGUUGAUACUAUUUGUCUUGAAUAUCGUGGAGGUGAGCGGAAUAUGUCAUGUAGCGGUGAAAUGCUUAGAUAUGACAUAGA
rnacentral:rRNA from 1 species